CCCGGGCGACCGGGCGGAGUAACGAACGUAUAGCAAUCCACCUGUAACAGGGGGAUAACCCGGAGAAAUCCGGACUAAUACCCCAUAAUAUGGGCGCUCCGCAUGGAGAGCCCAUUAAAGAGAGCAAUUUUGGUUACAGACGAGCAUGCGCUCCAUUAGCCAGUUGGCGGGGUAACGGCCCACCAAAGCGACGAUGGAUAGGGGUUCUGAGAGGAAGGUCCCCCACAUUGGAACUGAGACACGGUCCAA
rnacentral:rRNA from 1 species